UAUAGUUUUACUUCCGCCUGAAACCAGAGCUUCCAUUUCAGCGAAGUUGUUACGGAACGGCGAGAACGGGAUUGAAGAAAGGGGCAGCUUCUGUUGAGAGAAAGUGUCCACCAGUUACACUGUAUUUCUGCUGUGCAACCAACUUGGAAGUUCUGGGUCAACCUGUGUUAUCCAUGCAUGUGGAAAUGUAAAGAAUAUGAUCUUCUUCAUAUUCAAGAAGAUCUGAACUUCUAAAACAUUACAAACUUGAUCAUCUCAGAGCACCAUGGCAGACAUGGCACCUGUUUGAUUGCUGAUCGUUUUAAGUGAAGACAACAGCGUAAGAAUGGAGCUGCACAAAGGGAUUCCAAACUCAUUGGAAGAGCUUAUUGAUGAGGUUAAGAAUGCGUGUGGAUUAGAGGGACACAUAAGGCUGCAGUAUAAGGACACCGAUUUUGGAAACAUAUUUGUGAAUCUGACCUCUACAUCUGUGAUUAGGGAUCUUAAAUUCUCAAAGUUGUUCAGUUAGACCCUGAUACCACAACUGUUGUCUUGUACCCGGUUGAUCCCUCAAUAAGUAUCAACACUUCUGUAAGUGGCCUGGACAGUGAUGACUCCUCUGUUUCUGCACAUACAGAUGACACAGUGUUGCUUAGCAGCCCCUCACCAGACUCACUAAGGACACAGCAGUGGCCACAAGUGUUCCAAAUCCCAAACUUCUCCUAUGACACAAAAUGCCAACUGCAGAAGGCAAAUGUGGAGUACAUGAAAAGCCAAACAAAACUGACUCCUAGUUCAAAAAUGUUGUCAGACAUAGUGGAGAAAUUAGCUGAAAGUGUGUAUGCAUACACACCAUAUCCUGAAGAUGGUCACUACAGCGAUGUUGCUGAGGCACUCACAAGAAAGCACCCCUGCCUUAGAGAGCCAGGAUCUUUCAGUCAGAGCUAUGGGUGGAAACAGAGGCUCAAGAUAAAAAUGGCCAACUACCGGACCCAACUCAAGGCACAUGGCACGUCUGCUGAGCUCACAGUGAAUUCUUUAAAAGCAAAAAUUCCAGGGGAUGCCUUUCCGGCAUAGAAUGUGAAGAGUCCUAGAUGAGCUGAGGUCAACCAUUUUCCAUCUUUUCCAAUUGGUGAGACUACAGAAAGCUUGGAACAAGAGAGGAUUUCCCUUUUGGCAGAAAUGCAGAAAAGAAACAACCAGCAAACAGUAAAAGCAAAGAUGGCAAAGACAUUUGGAUACCGAAGACAGGAAA